GACGAACGCUGGCGGCGUGCUUAACACAUGCAAGUCGUACGGAAAGGCCCUGCUUUUGUGGGGUGCUCGAGUGGCGAACGGGUGAGUAACACGUGAGUAACCUGCCCUUGCCUUUGGGAUAACUUCCGGAAACUGGGGCUAAUACCGGAUAGGAGCUCCUGCUGCAUGGUGGGGGUUGGAAAGUUUCGGCGGUUGGGGAUGGACUCGCGGCUUAUCAGCUUGUUGGUGGGGUAGUGGCUUACCAAGGCUUUGACGGGUAGCCGGCCUGAGAGGGUGACCGGCCACAUGGGGACUGAGAGACGGCCCAGACUGCUACGGGAGGCAGCAGUGGGGAAUAUUGCACAAUGGGCGGAAGCCUGAUGCAGCAACGCCGCGUGCGGGAGGACGGCCUUCGGGUUGGAAACCGCUUUCGCCUGUGACGAAGCGUGAGUGACGGUAAUGGGUAAAGAAGCACCGGCUAACUACGUG
rnacentral:rRNA from 1 species